AACCAAGCCGCAGAGAAUGUGCUUUC
rnacentral:piRNA from 1 species